ACAAUUUUAGGUUUCCCAAAUAACCUUUCAGUUAAACGUUCCUAUAGUGUGAAGAACAUUUUAACUAAAGAUCUAAAGAUCCUUUUUUCACUAUAAAUAACAAGUGCCCACUGACGUUAAACCUCAUUGGGAUGUUAAAUUUUCUUUUAUGUUCCACAUAAAAAAACAAGCCAUAUGAGUUUGGAACAACAUGAGGGUAACAUGAGCAAAUUUGAAUUUUUGGGUGAACUAUCGUUUUAUUGCAGCAGAUGUCUGAGAAGUUCUGCCUCCUGUGUUUGAGACAUGGGAGUUUGAAACUAUGCUUUUUGACUAUGUAUAAUUUGCUCAUUAACCAUGUUAUAUUUUUGUACUGUAGACAUAGAUGAUCAUUUGAUGUCAUGGUUGCCCAAGGAACUUCUGGGAACAGGAAAGUACCUUGCGCUAUGAUAUACUGUAUAUCCCAAUACGUUAAAACAGUUUGAAAUUUAGCAACAUUGCUUUUUUGCUGUAUUUUUGAUCAAAUUAAUGCAGCCCUCUUUCAAAAACAUACUAACCCCUAACAUAAUAACUUUUCAAUGGCAGUGUAUAAAAAAAAACUUUUAAUUUAUAAGCUCAAACUUGCUUAAACAGGUCCUGACCAUUCACCAACAUUAAAAGGGUGUGUACUUUUGCAAAUAAAAUAUACCACCGGCUUAGUAUUUUAUUGCACAUUCUGAACCAAGAGGUAAUUUAGCAGCAUAGUUUGUUGCUUUUAUGGUCAACAAGUAUUGGCCUGUGUUAACCCUACCUCAGGAGGGCGUCGUGAUAAACCUGCAUGCUGAUUGGUCGUAUUUGGGGAAUAUUUGAUUCUAUACUGAAUCGCAAUUUAUGACACAGACCGAAAAAUAACGUACUAGGUCAAAAGCUUCUUAUUCUCUCCUCACUGCUAUUUGUGGAGCGGUUAUUAGAAAAAUAGGAUUUUCCUGUCAAAUUCCUCACUAAUCUGACCCCCUGUUUUGGUUUAAUGAAACAUACAUAAUUUUAUCCCUUCAACAAAUAGGCUGCUCAGUGUAUUCUAUGCACAAUCGUGCUUGGGUGCUAAAUUCCUGCAUUUCUCUACAUGCUUAGUCUUUCAGUUAAAGCAUUCGAAUAGUAUUAUAUUAUAAGCAUUGCGCUAAAAAUGAUUAUCUACUGCUGGCUUGAUUUUGCCAUUACUUUUAAAUUAAAAAGGUCCCCAUUUAAUAUGACUUAGUUUAAUAAACCAAUCCACCGGAAAUACCUAAAUCAUUGAGAAACUGAUCUCAGAUCAGCAUAAAAGGUCUUUCUGCCAACAUAUCUCAGAUCCAGUAUACUCUUGACCGUUUUAUUUGUCGUCUUCCUUGAGGACAUGGUAUAUCUAAGUCUGAUAUCAUCUCUUUGCCACUACAAAAUUCCACUAAUAUCAUUUUACAACAUAGUGCUGCAUCAAGGGUGAAUGGAUAUUCUCCUAAAAAGUGAGAAAUAAAAGCAAGCAUAGCUUUAAUUCCUGUACUAUGUCUCUCUUUUUCUGGACUUGGGAACUAUACCAUAAUUUUAGUGGGGG